AUUAUUUAAUGAUUUUUCCCUUUCUGCAUUCAAUUUUUUCCUCUGUUUGUAGAUAAAGAAUGGGCAGACAUUCUGUUGUGAACUAAUGGGCUCAGCUGUGGCUCCAGAUCUGGAAUUUUCUUUCCUAAUGCACAACUUCGGAAGGCAUUUCAUAUAUUGUGUUGUUAUGGUACCUGUUACACACUCACUGGUGAUUACGUAGCAACAGAAGCAGCAGAGGAAUCAGGUAGAAAACUUUAUUUUUUUAUUUUAUUAUAUUGGAAUUUUAAAGUGUGUAAAGCAAAGUUUUAUGGUUUGUUUUUAUAAUACGAUAGUAUUUAUUCAGUCUAGACUGCUUGUUUUCCAACACACUGUCUUGGAGGUCAGCUUCACCCCUCAAGUCCUUUCUCCUGGUGGCUUCAUGGAGGUUCUCUUCUCAUUCUACCCAAGCAAAGCAGUUUGUUACCACGAGAAGGUGGUUUUUGAGACAAGUGUGCCAAACAAGUGGAGGAGAUCCUAGGACAUGGUGCUGAAAUUAAGGACUUAGCACAUAAAGUGGUUAAUUUUGGAGCUGUGCAGAAUGGCCAGCAAAGUCGGUAAUUGAUCCCUCUGGUGAACAGCAGCCUGACAUGUAGACUUUGCAGACACUGAUAACUCUCUCCAGGACUCUAGGAUCGUAUCAGUGCGUCCAGAAGGGGAGGUGACACUUAAAGAUGGAGGUGGCCACUGUGUGGUGGAGCUUCUCUUUUCUCCUGAACAGCACAUGCCUCUCAUCACUGAGGAGUUGCAGCUAGAGUGUCUAGGUGCUUUUCGCCCCCUGCUGGUCAUGAAGGGAUGUUGUCAGGGAGAGGAAGUCAGACUGGACACAGACUACCUGCAGUUUGGAGUUGUUGGAAUGUGACAAGUUGAGCUACUUGUCACAUUAUAAUGCAGAACACAGGAGUAAUUGAUUCAAAUGGGGACGUAAAUAGCUUUGCUCCAGAUUUCAUCAUUUUCCCUGCUGAGGGCUACAUCACCCCAGGAAUGGAAGUAUCCAUUGAAGUGACCUUUGCCCCUACCAAGCUGAGUCAAAGAGUAUGCUGUACUAUAGAGGGGGGCAAACCAUUAAAACUCACCCUCACUGACUCCUGCAUUGUCCGUCCAGUUAAAUAGAAAUAGAAGAAAACACAAGUCUGAAUGUUACAGUGUGUCAAAACCUUGUAUAUUUGUUGAUAUGAGAUGUGCCGAUGAAAUGAAGUUAAAAAGCAAGGCUAAUUCAUUUUCACUGUCUUUUUCUUGCUUGC
rnacentral:lncRNA from 12 species